rnacentral:rRNA from 1 species
GAUGAACGCUGGCGGCGUGCCUAAUACAUGCAAGUCGAACGCUUUGUCUUUAAUUGAUAUGAAGAGCUUGCUCUGAUUUGAUUUUAUCUGACAAAGAGUGGCGAACGGGUGAGUAACACGUGGGUAACCUACCUCUUAGCAGGGGAUAACAUUUGGAAACCAGUGCUAAUACCGUAUAACACUAACAACCGCAUGGUUGUUAGUUGAAAGAUGGUUCUGCUAUCACUAAGAGAUGGACCCGCGGUGCAUUAGCUAGUUGGUAAGGUAAUGGCUUACCAAGGCGAUGAUGCGUAGCCGAGUUGAGAGACUGAUCGGCCACAAUGGGACUGAGACACGGCCCAUACUCCUACGGGAGGCAGCAGUAGGGAAUCUUCCACAAUGGGCGCAAGCCUGAUGGAGCAACGCCGCGUGUGUGAUGAAGGGUUUCGGCUCGUAAAACACUGUUAUAAGAGAAGAACGACAUUGAGAGUAACUGUUCAGUGUGUGACGGUAUCUUAUCAGAAAGGAACGGCUAAAUACGUG